rnacentral:rRNA from 1 species
UCUUUGGGUGGCGAGUGGCGGACGGGUGAGUAAUGUCUGGGAAACUGCCCGAUGGAGGGGGAUAACUACUGGAAACGGUAGCUAAUACCGCAUAACGUCGCAAGACCAAAGUGGGGGACCUUCGGGCCUCACACCAUCGGAUGUGCCCAGAUGGGAUUAGCUAGUAGGUGGGGUAAUGGCUCACCUAGGCGACGAUCCCUAGCUGGUCUGAGAGGAUGACCAGCCACACUGGAACUGAGACACGGUCCAGACUCCUACGGGAGGCAGCAGUGGGGAAUAUUGCACAAUGGGCGCAAGCCUGAUGCAGCCAUGCCGCGUGUAUGAAGAAGGCCUUCGGGUUGUAAAGUACUUUCAGCGGGGAGGAAGGCGGUGAGGUUAAUAACCUUGCCGAUUGACGUUACCCGCAGAAGAAGCACCGGCUAACUCCGUGCCAGCAGCCGCGGUAAUACGGAGGGUGCAAGCGUUAAUCGGAAUUACUGGGCGUAAAGCGCACGCAGGCGGUCUGUUAAGUCAGAUGUGAAAUCCCCGGGCUUAACCUGGGAACUGCAUUUGAAACUGGCAGGCUUGAGUCUCGUAGAGGGGGGUAGAAUUCCAGGU